CUGAGAUCCCUUGUAUCAAUUCUUUAAGUGCCCCGAGUUCAUCAUCAGACUCUGCUGACUUAAAUUCAUCCCAGCUCAUCUAAAGCUGUCUUUUCAUUGUCCUGACCCUCAGCCUUUCUUCUUCCUUGUUUACAUAACAUUUAUUAGCUGUUGCUCUUUCUUUCUGUGAAGACUGAGGUAUAGAAGCUACUGAGCAGCUCCUUCAUUUCACUUUCUGUUAAUAGUUCACCCUGGCUGUUCAACUGUGGACCUACAGCUUCCUUUGUUCUUGUUUUCUGACCAAGAUACUUACAGAGCAUCUUCUUCUUGUCCUUAAAUUCUCUUAUCAGGUGCACAGAAUCCAGGCUGAGUAGUCUGAAGGACCAGCAGCGAGUUGGAUUUCCCCUCUCCAAAUUUUCAAGCACAAUUGCUGCAGGAAGCAAUGAAUAUUCAUUCAUAUGAGAGCCCUGCAAUUCCAACAUGAGCUGAAGUUGCCAGAGAGGACAACUGUAUGAAAACCAAGCUUAUGGGACAGUCUUAGAACACCUUGCAAGACAGUGUUAUCCAGGCUGGGCAGGAAUGUUCCAGCUGGGUAUUUUCCAACAGAUAAUGGUCCUUUGCACAACAUUGACAUUUUCCAUUGGGAAAAAUUGACAUGACAGCUCCAUGGCUGCUUGCAAGUGUCACUUGUUCUCUUAAAAGCCUCCCAGGCAUGCAGCUGGGGAGCCAUGGAAGCUGAGCGCCCCACUUCUGCAGCCAGGGAUGGGAAGCUGGAUGUGCUACAUGUUCAGCAGCCAGGCUGGAAGGCUCAGUCAGUUUCCUCUUUCUGCCUCCAGAGUGUGACAUUGGCCAAGGCUGUUCCAGGUGAGCAGCCAGCAAUCUGAAAUAUUCUGUUUCUGGUUUUCUCUGAAAAUCCCUUUCCUCAAAAAAAAAAGUUUCUAAUUCUUAACUUUAGCCUGAUUUGGGACAUCAUUUUCCAAAGGGAAGUCUUGGUGGGAGAAGAGUUCCACUUUCCAGCCAGCCGUAGUUAACGCUCAGCUUGUUUUCUUAAUAGGGUUUCUGAUCCAUCAGGGUUUAAUAAUAGGUUAAGAGUGCAGACAGAAGUGUAGCUCCCAGCUGGAACUCAGAACAAUUUCUGUAAAGUGUUCUGAGUUGCAAGGUCCCCCCUGAUCAAACAGACAUUCACUCUUGGUUCCAAGGGGAGGGGAAUAUAGCUGCCAGCCAGGAAGCUGCAGCCAGGUUCCUAUAGCAACAGCCAGGCUCUCCACCAGUGCUGGCUGUUUUCAGAAUGGGAGAGGGGAAAGGCAGCGGAGGAAGCUCAUUCUUGGGGCUUCCCAACUGGUGCUGAAGGGUGGGGUGGGUGAUUGGAGUGUCCCACCUCAGGAGGGCUCCAAUACACCUGCCCCACCUUCCAGGGGGGCUGAAAAAUGCCCCUCCACUCCAUUUCCCCCCUCCCAUUCUGAAAACAGCGACAGGUUUGAUCACAGCUCUAAAUGGUUUUCUGUGGCCAGAUUAGGCAAAAAUUGUCACUUCUGUCUGUGCCCUAAAUAAAUCCAAACACUCUUAUUUUCUGUACUUGAAGAGCAAAAGUCCUUUAGUCUUUUAAAGCAUAAAUCAGCAGUUCCCUUACUAGGGGUCACAAUCACAGAUGGGACCCUAGGAGCUCCAGAUCCUCCCACCUUACAAUUCCCUAUAUGGCUCUUAAUUAACAGAGGAUAGACCUUUAUUGUGCUGCAGUUGCUCAAUGGCUAUUCUUCCCGUACCUGCUCCUACCCCAGAGUUAGAGGUAUACCAGGACAGCUAAUCCUGAUGUGAAACAAUUCUAAGCCAUCCUGCCUUACUAUGGGCUAAUUGCAACAUACAGCAACUCAUAUCCCUACAGUUAAUGGGGCUGCUGCAUGGUAGCUGAUAUUGCGUCUGUUUUGACAUUUCUAAACUGGAGCAACUUAGCAGUCCCUCAUUCAGGGGUAAGCUGCCAUGGUUUGGUUUUCACUGGGAAUGUCUACAUGUGCAUUAAGAUGCUUUUUCUAAUGUACAUUAAAUUUAGUGCCUCCAAUGUGAGGAAUUAUGUGCAUUAGACUGCCUUAGUGCAUAGUAAUGAAUGCACAGGGUUUUAAAGUGGUGCUUAAUGCACAGUAGCCUAUUUUACUGUGCAUUUGUGUAAUCACACAGUUUUUAUGUGAUGCAUUAAUGCGCAGUAAAAUAGGCUACUGGGCAUUAAAGCACAAGCGCAGAUGCACCCAUUGUGGAGUAAUUGCUAAUGCAAGGACAGUUACUAUAGGGCAGCUGAAAUGGCAAAUCCCUACUGCCCGUUAAUUGCAGGCUCAGGAACAGCAGUAGUUGUGUGCAUGACCGACUAUAAUUACCUGACUAUAAGUACUGAUGUGAUCAGAAGUUGUUCUGGAAACAUCUGGCCUCAAUGGUUCUUAAUGUAUGUAAGUGUGAGUGGUCAAAUUAUUGCUUAUGGGUUUAUCUAACACAAAGCAGUACAGUCCAUUGGUACCCCGAGUUAGCUUUGCAUGCACUAGCUCUGGAACCAGAAGUAGUAUUGCUACUGAUCACCCCAGGUGCACUGCUGUGUUAAUAUGGCUAAACUGCUUUCAUUUUCAGAUGUAGCUUGGGGUACUAUGCCCAGUGCUCCUUUGUAUCAUAUAGAUAUACCCUUUCUUUAUACCAGUGCCUGAAGGGGUUGUUCUGGUUUUGCUGAAUUUAGUAUAGAGUUGUUAAGAAGG